rnacentral:rRNA from 1 species
UGUAGGUGUAAGUGGUCUGGCCUGCUCACUGAUAAAAUUAUUUAAGAGCCGCGGUAUAUUGACCGUGCAAAGGUAGCAUAAUCAUUAGGGGUUUAAUUGGAGCCUGGAAUGAAGGGUCGGACAAAGGAAAGACUGUCUAUAAAGUUAAGUUUGAAGUUUACUUUUAAGUGAAAAGGCUUAAAUAACUCAAAGGGACGAUAAGACCCUAUAAAGCUUUAUAUGUAAGUUAAGUUUGACUUAUUUAAAUAUAAAGGUUAAAUUUAAUUGUCUUAUUUUGUUGGGGUGACGUGAGUAUAAUUUUGGUUAACUGCUUAUUAAAAAUACUUUUAUGAAAGAUUUGAACGAUAAAUGAUCCUUUUUAAAGAUUAAAAGACUAAGUUACUUUAGGGAUAACAGCGUUAUUUCUUUUGAGAGUUCUUAUCGAAAAAGGAGAUUGCGACCUCGAUGUUGAAUUAAAAUAUCUAUAUAAUGCAGCCGUUAUAAAAGAGGGUCUGUUCGACCUUUAAAUU